rnacentral:rRNA from 1 species
AUUGAACGCUGGCGGCAUGCCUUACACAUGCAAGUCGAACGGCAGCACGGGAGCAAUCCUGGUGGCGAGUGGCGAACGGGUGAGUAAUAUAUCGGAACGCGCCCAGUCGUGGGGGAUAACGGAGCGAAAGCUACGCUAAUACCGCAUACGAUCUAUGGAUGAAAGCGGGGGAUCGCAAGACCUCGCGCGAUUGGAGCGGCCGAUAUCAGAUUAGGUUGUUGGUGGGGUAAAAGCCUACCAAGCCUGCGAUCUGUAGCUGGUCUGAGAGGACGACCAGCCACACUGGAACUGAGACACGGUCCAGACUCCUACGGGAGGCAGCAGUGGGGAAUUUUGGACAAUGGGCGCAAGCCUGAUCCAGCAAUGCCGCGUGCAGGAUGAAGGCCUUCGGGUUGUAACUGCUUUGUUACGGUAACGAAACAGUUACUCUCUAUACAGAGAGCUAAUGACGGUACCGUAACGAAUAAGACACCGGCUAACUACGUGCC